rnacentral:lncRNA from 1 species
GGCGGCUGCGCGCCUCCUCCAUCAAGACUCCUCUCCCUGCGGGCAGCCCAGCCUGAGGCCGGUGUUGACAUAUGGCAUCAGAAAGCAGGACCUGGAGCGAUCUCACCUUCCCGGAGUGGUGCCCCCUGGAAACGGGUUCUGUACAACAGGCGUCCCUUGUGGGGGCUCACCGCUUCUGUGGACCGCCGGCUCCUCCCCUCAUGAGUCCUCUCAGGUUCUGACCUCCCUCCCUUUGGUGAAGGUCUUUGCCUUUCUUUGGGGUUCUGGGGCAACAGCCCAACCUGGGGUCGAUCAACCAGGAGACAGUUGUCUUCAAGUCGGCUCAUGGCUUUGCUGUCUGGAAAGGUUUAUUCCCAGUCUGGUUUCAUCUUUAGAGAGGUUCGUGGAAAGGACUCUGACACUUGCUCUGGAUUACAGGUUUCUGGCAAACUUUCAGACCAUAAAACUGAACUGGAUAAGAAAAUACAGAACUCUAAUGGAGAAACUGAUGGCUUCAUAAAACUGCUAACAAAAGAUCUAGAACAAAUAUUAAUUACAUGGGACGACCUGAACUGAGGAGGAUGCUCAAAGGUUUUGUUUUUCCAGAUGUAAAAAAAUCUUUGUGAAUAAAGAUGAAAGGUUUACUUUUUCUCCCUACCCAAUCCCUCCAGAAUUCAGAAACUCUCAGUGAAUAUUCUCAUUUUCACUUGUGGAUAUAGAAUCUGGUCCCGUGAAUUGCCUUUGAAGUUUUCUUAUACACCUGUAGACUGGACCCACCCUGGCCUAAGGUGUUGCCUUUGGUCUUGCUGACAGUUCACAGUGCCCUCUUUGGAAAACUUGAACUGACUCCACACGGGACGGUCACUGGCAGAUCAGUGUCUGUUGGUACACAACCUUCUGCUGACCCCUUGUCGUCUUAUGCUAGUAUGACCAGCUACCGUAAGACUCUAAUGUCUUACGCUCAAGCCCAUCAUUAACAGGUUAAAGAAGCUUUCCUGGAUCCCAAUUUAAAGGAUCCUGUUGGUCAGUCUAGAAGCUGGUGACUGGGUAUUCUGGAAGCAUCAUCAGAGGAAGACAGCCCUUGAGCCCCGUUGGAAAAGACCUUACCAAGUGCUCCUGACCACUGACGCUGUUUCAGAACUAGGAGGCAUUGAACCUUGGAGACACAUCUCCCAGCUAAAGAAGGCUCCACAUGACAUCUGGUCCUGCACGAAUGCUGGAGGCCUCCAAAUCUAAUUGACCAGGAAGAGAAGCAGCUGACGUGAGGCAGACAGCUUUCCCCAGAAGGCUGAACCAGGCCUGUACACGUUUUACUUGCUGUUGCUUCCUACCUUAUUUUCUCCCUGUCUUUCUUGGAAAGACAUGACUCUUACUUGCAUUUCUCAAUCUGUUACAAAGUGGGGAAAUCUUUCUGACUGUUGGGUUUAUCAUCAGAAGCCUCCUUCUGUACAUGAAUCUAGAGAAUCCUUUAGUGUAAUUAUUACAGUCUCUCUACCACUCC